AUUGAACGCUGGCGGCAUGCUUUACACAUGCAAGUCGAACGGCAGCGCCGGCUUCGGCGUCGCGGCGAGUGGCGAACGGGUGAGUAAUGCAUCGGAACGCGCCCAGUCGUGGGGGAAAGCCCGGCGAAAGCGGGAAUAAUACCGCAUACGACCUGAGGGUGACAGCGGGGGACCGCGAGGCCUCUCGCCAUUGGAGUGGGCGAUGUCGGAAGAGAUAGGUGGUGGGGUAAAGGCUUAAACAGGCGAGGAACCGUAACUGGGCUUAGAGGACGACCCGCCAGACUGGGACUGAGAAAGGGCCCCGACUCCUGCGGGAGGACGCAGCGGGGACUUUUGGGGGAUGGGGCAAUGCCUGAUCCUGCCAUGCCGGCGGAGGGAAGAAGGCCCUCGGGUGCUAAACCGAUUUUGUUCGGGAAGAAAUCCUGUGGGCUAAUCCCGCGGGGGGAUGACGGUACCGGAAGAAUAAGCACCGGCUAACUACGUG
rnacentral:rRNA from 1 species